rnacentral:tRNA from 1 species
AUCGUCGAUGACCUGGUUCAUGCCGUAAAUACCGCUGAUGACGGUAUAGAUCGUGAGGACGGUCAGCAAAUAGCUCGAGCGUCGCGAGUUGGCGUUG